AUUGAACGCUGGCGGCAGGCCUAACACAUGCAAGUCGAGCGGAGCGGCGGACGGGUGAGUAAUGCCUAGGAAUCUGCCUGGUCGUGGGGGAUAACGUCCGGUAACGGGCGCUAAUACCGCAUAAUAUCAGAUGAGCCUAGGUCGGAUUAGCUGGUUGGUGGGGUAAAGGCCUACCAAGGCGACGAUCCGUAGCUGGUCUGAGAGGAUGAUCAGUCAAACUGGAACUGAGACACGGUACAGACGCCUACGGGAGGAAGCAGUGGGGAAUAGUGGACAAUGGGCGAAAGGCGGAUACAGCCAUGCCGCGAGUGUGAAGAAGGGCUUCGGAUUGUAAAGCACUUUAAGUUGGGAGGCGUUACCAACAGAAUAAGCACCGGCUAACUUCGUGCCAGCAGCCGCGGUAAUAC
rnacentral:rRNA from 1 species